rnacentral:rRNA from 1 species
CUGACGUUGAAGGACGAAGGCUUAGAGUAGCGAAGAGGAUUAGUUACCCUAGUAGUCUAAGCAGAAAAUGAUGAAUGUCAUAGAUUAGAUGUACUUUGAUCUAUAAAUGAAAGUGUAAGCAUUCCACCUCAAGAGUAAGAUGGCAAGAUUGGAACUGAAAUCAUUAGACCGUUUCUGAAACCAGUAGUGAAGUAUGUUGUUUAAUUUGAUAACCCGCAAAAAACCUUACCACAAUUUGAAUAGAUAUAUUAUAUCAUACAAGUGUUGCACGGCUGUCUUCAGUUAAUGUCGUGAGAUUUUGGUUAGUUCCUUUAAAUUAACGUAAACCCUUACUCUAUUUUUAAAUAAAGUAGUUCACCGCUAGAUUGGAUGUGAUAACAGGGAUCAAGACAAGUCCUCAUGACCUAAAUAUUGUGGGCUAUAGACGUGCCACAU